rnacentral:ncRNA from 1 species
CGGGAGGCUCAUGUGAAAACGUGACCCUAUCCGGUAACGGGUAGUGGAAAAACUCUCUAAAUUGCUGGAAUACCGUUAGAGCUUCUUGUGCUACAGCGUGAUCCGAAAGGAUGAGCGCGAAUGCUUGAAAAAUGAGAAGAUUCGGCAAUCAGCAGCCAAGUCUUCCGCCUUAGGCGAAGGAAAGGUUCAGAGACUAUAAUGGGAGAGUCCCUUUGGGAUUAUGGUAUAGUCCAUUCCAGCUGGAAACAGCAGG